CACGCGCACGGGUGAGUAACGCGUAUCCAACCUGCCUUACACUCUUGGACAGCCUUCUGAAAGGGAGAUUAAUACAAGAUGUUAUCAUGAGUAAGCAUUUUCACAUGAUUAAAGGUUUACCGGUGUAAGAUGGGGAUGCGUUCCAUUAGAUAGUAGGCGGGGUAACGGCCCACCUAGUCUUCGAUGGAUAGGGGUUCUGAGAGGAAGGUCCCCCACAUUGGAACUGAGACACGGUCCAA
rnacentral:rRNA from 1 species